UACGGGGGGGGCAAGCGUUGUUCGGAAUUACUGGGCGUAAAGGGCUCGUAGGCGGCCCUCUCAGUCGGAUGUGAAAUCCCCAGGCUUAACCUGGGAAUGGCAUCCGAUACUGGAGGGCUUGAAUUCGGGAGAGGGAUGUGGAAUUCCAGGUGUAGCGGUGAAAUGCGUAGAUAUCUGGAGGAACACCGGUGGCGAAGGCGGCAUCCUGGACCGACAUUGACGCUGAGGCGCGAAAGCCAGGGGAGCAAACGGG
rnacentral:rRNA from 1 species